GCCUUAGUAGCUCAGUUGGUAGUCAGCGUUACCUUCGUAAGGUAAAGGUCCGGAGUUCGAUUCUCCGCUGAGGCA